rnacentral:rRNA from 1 species
UACAGAGGUCCCAAGCGUUGUUCGGAUUCACUGGGCGUAAAGGGUGCGUAGGCGGCGGGGCAAGUCUGAUGUGAAAUCCCGGGGCUCAACCCCGGAACUGCAUUGGAUACUGCUUUGCUAGAGUACUGGAGAGGGAACUGGAAUUUACGGUGUAGCAGUGAAAUGCGUAGAGAUCGUAAGGAAGGCCAGUGGCGAAGGCGAGUUCCUGGACAGUGACUGACGCUGAGGCACGAAGGCCAGGGGAGCAAACGGG